GACGAACGCUGGCGGCGUGCUUAACACAUGCAAGUCGAACGGAAAGGCCCUGCUUUUGUGGGGUGCUCGAGUGGCGAACGGGUGAGUAACACGUGAGUAACCUGCCCUUGACUUUGGGAUAACUUCAGGAAACUGGGGCUAAUACCGGAUAGGAGCUCCUGCGGCAUGGGGGGGGUUGGAAAGUUUCGGCGGUUGGGGAUGGACUCGCGGCUUAUCAGCUUGUUGGUGGGGUAGUGGCUUACCCAGGCUUUGACGGGUAGCCGGCCUGAGAGGGUGACCGGCCACAUUGGGACUGAGAUACGGCCCAGACUCCUACGGGAGGCAGCAGUGGGGAAUAUUGCACAAUGGGCGGAAGCCUGAUGCAGCAACGCCGCGUGCGGGAUGACGGCCUUCGGGUUGUAAACCGCUUUCGCCUGUGACGAAGCGUGAGUGACGGUAAUGGGUAAAGAAGCACCGGCUAACUACGUG
rnacentral:rRNA from 1 species